rnacentral:rRNA from 1 species
AGUGAACGCUGGCGGUAGGCCUAACACAUGCAAGUCGAACGGCAGCACAGUAAGAGCUUGCUCUUACGGGUGGCGAGUGGCGGACGGGAGAGGAAUAUAUCGGAAUCUACUUUUUCGUGGGGGAUAACGUAGGGAAACCUACGCUCAUAUAGCAUACGACCUACGAGUGAAAGGAGGGGAUCUUCGGACCUUGCGCGAUUGAAUGAGCCGAUGUUGGAUUGGCUGGUUGGGGGGGUAAAGGCCCACGAAGGGGAGGAUACGUGGCUGGUCUGAGAGGAUGAUCGGCCACACUGGAACUUGGCCACGGUCCAGACUCCUACGGGAGGCAGCAGUGGGGAAUAUGGGACAGCGGGCGCAAGCCUGAUCCAGCCAUACCGCGUGGGUUAAGAAGGCCUUCGGGUUGUAAAGCCCUUUUGUUGGUAAAGAAAAGCAGCAGGUUAAUACCCCGCUGUUCUGACGGUACCCAAAGAAUAAGCACCGGCUAACUUCGUG